GGAGGCUGCCAUGGUGACGAACAUGUCACCAAGGGGUGCCUGCAGCUGAUGAGCGGCAAGGGCGCAAGUCGGGAGGGGGAUCUUCACAUUGCUUGGUGGCCAGGAGAUAAGUUGAGGAGCCAGGGUGCCAUGGGAGCUGCAGUGUCGCCAGAAUCUCCGUGCCCACCAGAAUGGCAAUGAUCUCCAUGCUUAUUCACAUCCGUUCUUUAAAAAGACAAACUGAGAGUCUGGCAAAGAAAAAUUAAUUCUGAAUCACUCUUUCGUCCAUCCGAACAGGAUAAAGAAGGGGCUUUUAUGUGUAUGCUGCUGGUUGGCAGUGAUCGUGGUGAAAGAGAUGCUGCCUAAGGAUCUGCAGCAGUAUUGAUCAGUCUGAGUUUGUUAGUUGUGACAAUGUUACUCCUAUGUCCAGAAGAAGCUGAAUGGUCAAUAAUCUAGACGAAAUAAAACUUAAUAAAUAAAUCCUACAAAGUAGAGCUACAAAGAAAGAAA